CCAAAGGCUCUUUUCAGAGCCACCUUACAGGUUCGCUUGGAUGAGCU
rfam:Canis lupus familiaris chromosome 35, whole genome shotgun sequence.